UCCAGAAAGAGCUUAAUUCUGUGGCUUCUGAACUGGCAGCGCGGCAGGAAGACAGUGAGCAUUCUCAUAAACAUUUAAUUGAACUCAGCCGGGAAUUUAAGAAAAAUGUACCUGAGGAAGUCCGAGAGAUGGUGGCUCCCGUUCUGAAAAGCUUCCAGGCAGAGGUGAUCGCUCUUAGCAAAAGAAGCAAGGAAGCGGAAGCUGCGUUCCUGACUGUUUACAAGCAAUUAAUCCAAGCGCCAGGUAUGGAACGCCUCGUCU